AGUCUAGGUGAUGCUGUAAUGAGUGAUUGUACCACCAAAACUUCAGGGAUCUCCUCUGAUAGCUUGCUGAAUGUCAUAUCUAAUGAUUUCAGUUCUAACUCUCUUAUCAACGGGGCAAAUGACAAAAAUCAAUUGCACGAUCUGAAGUCGGAACUUGAUGCCAUUGAUAUGCAGUAUCAACAAUCUUGUCGUGAACUCUUGAGAAUGAGAGAGGAG
rnacentral:misc_RNA from 1 species